CUCUUGCAAGUUGAAAGCAUUGGUGGCUAUUCUCAAGGUUCAGCCAUGACUUGACAUUGCCAUAUGGAAGAAGUAUCCCGUAAUGAAAUCUCUUUUGCAUGUUUACAUGGAUCCAAGUAAAUUGUUUCAUGGCUUUGCAUGUAUGGAAAUAUCAAGAACAUUACUUCCUUUUAGUGUGACAGCAAAAAUAUGCUACAAUAUGAAAAUGCGGAAGAUCCAAUUUGAGAUGGUGACCUCAAAGUCAAUGAUAUAUCAA